rnacentral:rRNA from 1 species
AGAAUCAACGCUGGCGGCGUGCCUAACACAUGCAAGUCGAACGAGAAAGUGGAGCAAUCCAUGAGUAAAGUGGCGCACGGGUGAGUAACACGUGACUAACCUACCCUUGAGUGGGGGGAUAACCUAGGGAAACCUGGGCUAAUACCGCAUAAUACCUUCGGGUCAAAGGAGCAAUUCGCUUAAGGAGGGGGUCGCGGCCGAUUAGUUAGUUGGCGGGGUAAUGGCCCACCAAGACUGUGAUCGGUAU